GCCCGGGUGGCGAAAUUGGUAGACGCAGGGGACUUAAAAUCCCCCGGUAGAAAUACCGUGAUGGUUCGAUUCCAUUCCCGGGCA
rnacentral:tRNA from 1 species